GAAACACGGACCAAGGAGUUCAACUGAAUCACAAGUCUUACGUGGCUUAACCAACCACACAGGCAAAGCGAAUGCAUAUUAUAUGAUCUAUAUAUUAUAAUAUAGUGUAAUAUACAUAUUCCAUUUGAAUGUAUAUUUAUAUACAUUCAUAAACGGUAUAAUGUUAUAGUGUAUUAGUUGAGACCCGAAAGAUGAUGAACUAUUCUCGGAUAUGGUGAAGCCAGGAGAAAUCUUGGUGGAAGCUUGCGUUGUGCGGAACUGACGUGCAAAUCGUUACCGCCAGACCUGUGUAUAGGGGCGAAAGACUCAUCGAAUCAUCUAGUAGCUGGUUCCCUCCGAAGUUUCCCUUAGGAUAGCUCAAUUAUAUUCUUAAUGUAUCAUGUGGUCAAGCAAUGAGACGCGGUAUCUGUGGGUUUUGAUUUAUAUAUGACCUCGGCCUUCUCUCAAACUUUAAAUCUGUGCGUAUCUAUACGUAUAAUAAAUUAUUACGUAUAUUUUAUAAUAAAUAAUUGUAGUGGGCCAUUUCUGGUAAGCAGAACUGGCGAUGAGGGAUUCAACCUGACGUUUUAAAGAUAAGCCGGGCUUAAUCUUAUCUGUUCCAACCUUCCGAUAAACGCGA
rnacentral:rRNA from 1 species